rnacentral:tRNA from 1 species
UGCCGAAGUGGUGGAAUGGUAGACACCGGAGACUUAAAAUCUCCUGGGCGCAAGCCCGUACGGGUUCAACUCCCGUCUUCGGCAG